rnacentral:rRNA from 1 species
GUGGGGAAUCUUGCGCAAUGGGCGAAAGCCUGACGCAGCCAUGCCGCGUGAAUGAUGAAGGUCUUAGGAUUGUAAAAUUCUUUCACCGGGGACGAUAAUGACGGUACCCGGAGAAGAAGCCCCGGCUAACUUCGUGCCAGCAGCCGCGGUAAUACGAAGGGGGCUAGCGUUGCUCGGAAUUACUGGGCGUAAAGGGAGCGUAGGCGGAUAGUUUAGUCAGAGGUGAAAGCCCAGGGCUCAACCUUGGAAUUGCCUUUGAUACUGGCUAUCUUGAGUAUGGAAGAGGUAUGUGGAACUCCGAGUGUAGAGGUGAAAUUCGUAGAUAUUCGGAAGAACACCAGUGGCGAAGGCGACAUACUGGUCCAUUACUGACGCUGAGGCUCGAAAGCGUGGGGAGCAAACAGGAUUAGAAACCCCAGUAGUCC